AAGUCGUAACAAGGUUUCCGUAGGUGAACCUGCGGAAGGAUCAUUAAAGAAUGCCCCGUUUUUUGAAAUGGGUUCUAUUCCCAAACCGUGUAUACAUACCUUUGUUGCUUUGGCAGGCCGCCUUCGGGCGUCGGCUCACGCUGACCGCGCCUGCCAGAGGACCCAAACUCGUUUGUUUAGUGAUGUCUGAGUACUAUAUAAUAGUUAAAACUUUCAACAACGGAUCUCUUGGUUCUGGCAUCGAUGAAGAACGCAGCGAAAUGCGAUAAGUAAUGUGAAUUGCAGAAUUCAGUGAAUCAUCGAAUCUUUGAACGCACAUUGCGCCCCUUGGUAUUCCGAGGGGCAUGCCUGUUCGAGCGUCAUUAUGACCACUCAAGCCUAGCUUGGUAUUGGGGUUCGCGGUCUCGCGGCCCUUAAAAUCAGUGGCGGUGCCAUCUGGCUCUAAGCGUAGUAAUUUAUCUCGCUAUUGGGUCCGGUGGUUGCUUGCCAACAACCCCCAACUUCUAAGGUUGACCUCGGAUCAGGUAGGGAUACCCGCUGAACUUAAGCAUAUCAAUAAGCGGAGGAAAAGAAACCAACAGGGAUUGCCUCAGUAACGGCGAGUGAAGCGGCAACAGCUCAAAUUUGAAAUCUGGCUCUUUCAGGGUCCGAGUUGUAAUUUGUAGAAGAUGCUUUGGGUGUAGCUCCGGUCUAAGUUCCUUGGAACAGGACGUCAUAGAGGGUGAGAAUCCCGUAUGUGACUGGGUGCUUUCGCUCGUGUAAAGCUCUUUCGACGAGUCGAGUUGUUUGGGAAUGCAGCUCAAAAUGGGUGGUAAAUUUCAUCUAAAGCUAAAUAUUGGCCAGAGACCGAUAGCGCACAAGUAGAGUGAUCGAAAGAUGAAAAGCACUUUGGAAAGAGAGUUAAACAGUACGUGAAAUUGUUGAAAGGGAAGCGCUUGCAACCAGACUUGCGCGCUGUUGAUCAUCCGAGCUUCUGCCCGGUGCACUCGACAGCGUUCAGGCCAGCAUCGGUUUUGGUGGGCGGAUAAAGGCCUUGGGAAUGUAGCUUCUUUCGGGGAGUGUUAUAGCCCUCGGUGCAAUGCGCCCUACCGGGACCGAGGACCGCGCUUCGGCUAGGAUGCUGGCGUAAUGGUUGUAAGCGACC
rnacentral:rRNA from 1 species